CCUCCCAUGUUGCACAAGGGGUAUGUGGCAAUUUGGGGUCAGGACUUUCCUGCCUCUUCGCGGUUUGCGUGGAGCAGACAGCCCAUUGUGACAGUCAGAUGAUGAUUGCUAAUGUGGCUUACAAGAAUUGCUGCAGCUUCCCAUCUGCCGAAGCUGGACAUCACUUGCUGAAGUGACCAGUGGAUCCCGCCCCGUGGCUGAAAGCAGAUCCCAGAGAUCCCGAUACAGAGGUGAUGAUGCUUUGCAUACAGAUGGUAGGAGAAGAGAAUGAAUCUCCUGUGGGAUCUGGGGUAGCUGUGCAUUGGAAGCAGGACCUCAACAAGUUUUUAGGCUCCCAUCGCCGUCCUAAGACCAUGCUAGCAGCAUCUGGGAGGAAAAGCAGACACGUAUGUGCUGGGCUCCUACUCUGGGAAGCAAGAAGGUGGCUACAAUCCAGCCUAACAUGCUGAAGGUCAGAGUCUUAACUUCUUACCCACUUUACCAUGCUUUCCUGGUGAGAUAACAGCAGGUCCCCGUGCAUUUAAGUAAAGAAAUGCCAUUCAUAUGCA